rnacentral:rRNA from 1 species
CCUACGGGAGGCAGCAGUGGGGGAUAUUGCACAAUGGGGGAAACCCUGAUGCAGCGACGCCGCGUGGGUGAAGAAGCGCCUCGGCGCGUAAAGCCCUGUCAGCAGGGAAGAAAAUGACGGUACCUGAAGAAGAAGCCCCGGCUAACUACGUGCCAGCAGCCGCGGUAAUACGUAGGGGGAAAGCGUUAUCCGGAUUUACUGGGUGUAAAGGGGGCGCAGACGGCGAUGCAAGCCAGGAGUGAAAGCCCGGGGCCAAACCCCGGGACUGCUCUUGGAACUGCGGGGCUAGAGUGCAGGAGGGGCAGGCUGAAUUCCUGGUGUAGCGGUGACAUGCGUCGCUCUCAGGAGGAACCCCGGUGGCGAAGGCGGCCUGCUGGACUGCAACUGACGUUGAGGCCCGACAGCGUGGGGAGCAAACAGGAUUAGAUACCCCAGUAGUC